rnacentral:lncRNA from 1 species
CAUUUCUCCCAUCUCGCUCAUCUCUCUAACCCUAGCCGCCCCAAAUUCCUCUACCGGCGGGCACCACCUCAAUCACUCCCAAAUUAACACCCUAUAAUCUCCAACCUUCCUUCAUCCCUAAUCUACCAUUAAUUCUCCCAAAACCCCCCACCAAACCUUUCGAAUUUCAAAUCCAAAAAACCCUAGAAAUCCUAGGCCCCCAUUUUUGAUUCUUCAAGACUUCAAGACUCGAUUCAAGCUGAAAUUAACAUCAAUCGAUUGAUGUUAAUUUCGGUUCGUGUCGAAUACAUUGGAGUCCAGCCAACUUGUUCUCGACCAGUCAGAGUUCCAAAUUUUUCACACUCUUCAGGGUAAUCAUUUUCUUUCUCGUUUAGUUUAAUUAACUGUUAGUCUUGCACUUAAUAGUAUUUGUUAUUCUGAAUGUUCAUUGUUUAAGUUAUUAGUUAAUUGCAUAAUCAUUUAGUUCAAUUAUAUGUUAAUUAAUUUAAUUGCAUAAGUUUAAUCAAUUAAUUAUUAAAUUAUUUGGUUUUUGCAUUAGUGUUUUUGUUCAGGUCUGUUUGUUUCUUUUGGUGUGGCUAUUUAUAAUAAUUGGAACUUUAUGAGGUUAAAAGAAAAAGGAAAAAAGAAUAGAAUAGAAGAUUUGAAAAUACAAUAAAAUGAGGAAAUCAGGUUAAGAUUGGGGUUAAGGGGGUAAUUUCAGAAGUUUAAGGGGUUAGAAGAAAAGGAAGGAAUCUCUGGAACUGGACAGCUGUUCAUUUUUGUUGUGAAAAGAUGUUUUUUAGGAAACUGGCAGAAUACUCUCACACCCUCUCUCACUCUCUCAUAGGGCACAGAUAUUUCCUAUAUAAGGGAUCUCACAUUCAUUCACACCCCCCCCCCCCACACACACUCAUUCUCUGCAGAAAAUUCACACUCCUUUCUUGAUUAACACUGAUUUUUCUUGGAGAAAAACACUCUGAAAACUCGAUUUACAUACAAAGAAAACAAAAAAAAGGAGAAAAAGCUGUUUUGAACUUUGAGCAUACUUGGUUGAUAUUUUCCUGGGGUUUCAAAGGAUUUUCAAGCUUCAGAGCUGUUGUUUGCUGACUUGAUUCUGCUGAUUUCCCUGCUGUAGCUGAAUUUAGGAAUUCUAGACCUCAUUUGGUUAACUGCUGCGUAGUUCCUACUUUUAGGUAUGUUAAUCUUCACUUGUGAUUAUCUUUGAGCUUAUAGAUGAAUAUUUGAAUGUUUGAUUCCAUGGUUAUACUCAAUUUCAUGCAUUUAUUUUGUGUUAAAUUGCCAUAUCUGCUUAUCUUUGUUCCUCUUUUAAUGGAUAUUUUUGUUCAUCUGUUUCUCUAGUAAAAUUAUGUAUAAAAUUACUUAUGAACUAGUCUACUUGCUAUUGAUAAUCAUCCAUCUUGAUGAAAUCUGUUAGUUUUUCGAUAUUUCAAAAAUAUAUAAAAAUGAUGAAGUUGAUCGAAAUUUAAUGCCUACUAAGGUUAAUCUAAGUGUUGUUUUCAAUUAGAAUGUUAGAUGUGUUAUUUGAUCAUUUCAAGUCUAAACAACACAUUUUCAAAGGUUCGAAAUUGAUUCCUAUAAACAGACUAAGGAACAGAAGGCUACCAUAGUAUUAUGCGCAUGUAAGUAAUUCUGUGUUAAUUUGGAGAAUGUAAAGAGUUGUUGCUACUGAUCACAUGGCUGUAGUUUGCAGAUCUGACCACUAAUUGGUCAGAUUAGUAAACUCUAAAGCUCAAGGAGGAUCUUGAAGGUAAUGGGGAUGAUUCUUUUUAUAUAUGGUAGUACAGAGGCUUAGUUAUAAUUCGGAGUUGAUUUGAAAGAUUAGUUGCUAGGGUAGGGUAAUGAUUUUCAUGUAAAAUAUCUUAAUAUGCACAAAAGGAGUUUAUUGAUCACCGUAAUAGUCUAAGAAUUAGUCAUGUCAUGUAACAAAUGUAUGAGUCUUCUCUAUGAUGUUAGAAUCAUUGUUUAUUACGAUUAAGCAUGGUUCUAGGUUGGAUUUGUAGUGACAAUUAUAUUUAUGUAUUUGGACUUGACUAUUUUGAAUUGGCCUACUUUAUUUUUUUUGGACUUGAUGAUAAAUUAGCCCAUGUUGAAAAGUCUACUAUACAAUCAAAUGCAUUAGGUCUCAAUUGUUGAGAGCCUAAAGAGACCUGGUGGAAAACAGGUCCUACUGGGCCUAUUGUAUUGUGGCCCAGUCUCGAAAACUCUUCUGCAUAAAAUAAAAGAUUGUUUAUAGUUCAAAUGUCAGUUAAAACCCUAUAAUCAUUCGAUUAGGGCUCGUUUAGUUUAAUUCGGCACAUCCUUACACUUAGUUUAAACCCAACAUCCUUGUUAGUCAAACUCACGUGGUUAAACCUUUUAAAAUCCAUUUGCUUUCACACCAACACGAGUAGGAUAUGAAAUGACAUCAAAUGGUCUGCUAGGAUCUAAAUGAAUAAGAUUGUUUGUUUAAUCUUAUAAUAUCAUGCCCUACAAUAAAAUUCACAAAUCUUCAUAGAAUGCUUUAGGCGCGUUCUAAUCUAUUAUCAUGAUUGUGUACAUGUUCGCGUGACAUAAUUAUGAUUUCCACAAAUAAAUCAAAGUAUGCGUUCGCGCGACUUUGGUCGAACAAUUCUAAUAUUAAUAAAGCGUGAUUAAUUAUGUACACGUACGCAUGACAUAUUUUAGUGCCCCAAAUAAAACGGAUUUACACACAUGUGAUCCGUUUCAAAGAUAAACCUAUACAGCGCCAUAAUUAAAAGCGAUAAAAAGGAAAAUACAUAUAGGUUCUAAAAAUACGUAGUUAAACAAAUUAAUUAAGCCAAGUAUGAUUAAAAGCGACCGUGCUAAAAUCACAGAAUCCAGGAGUGCCUAACACCUUCUCCCGAGUUAACAUAAUUCCUUACUAGAUCUUCUAGUUUCGCAGACUUAAACAGAGUCAAUUUUCUCGAUUUGAGAUUUUAAAAUAAAUCGGUGACUUGGGACACCAUAAUAAUUAUCCCAAGUGGUGACUCUGAUUAAAUAAAUAAUCUCAUUUCGAAUAAUGUCACUUUAAUUGAAAAAAACUAUUUAUUUCGCGGGAAAAAAUGAGGUGUGACACUUGCAUAUUAUAGGAUUCAAGUGAAGUGAUGUCAUGCACUUUCUAUAGCAAACACAUGCCUUAUAUUGCCUUAGAGAAGGUGAAGUGGUCUUAACAUUAGUUCCAAUUUUGAUGAUCUCAGGUCUCUAACCAAUGCCUACAAAAUUGGCCUCAUCUGCAGCUAUUCUUUUCUUGGGUAACAUCUGCAGCUAUUGUACAACUUUCCAAUUUUAUCGGAUGUCCCCGAAUGACAUAGCUAUUUAUAACUUUCCAAUUUUAUCAUAUGUUCCGACCUCUCUUGAAUUCUUGUAUACGUAAGCAAAAUUAAUUUAUUGUUCGUGCCUAGACUAUUACAUUUAACCUCCUCGAUGAAGUUUGCCCC